ACCAAACCAAUUUGAUAUUGAUCUCCUUUGGUCUAAUGAUUAGAGAAGGUGUUCCUCAAGUCACUCACAACCACAUAAAGUCAUAUGACCUCUACAAAAAAUCCAUGUGAAGACUGGUGCAGAUCAGGGGCUUGGAGGUGCUAGUCUGCAAGCAACUUCGAUGAUUGAUCUCUUUCUUUUUCUUCAAGCACCUUAGACACUCUAAAGGAUGAAGAUAUCUGGAGGAA
rnacentral:lncRNA from 1 species